rnacentral:misc_RNA from 1 species
AACGCACAUUGCGCCCUUUGGUAUUCCGAAGGGCAUGCCUGUUCGAGCGUCAUUUCACCAAUCAAGCCCCGCUUGGUAUUGGGAGCCAGGCCCGCGCCUCAUCCGCGCGGGCCCUCCCGGAAUGAAUCGGCGAGGACAUCGACCCCCGGCGUGUUAGAAAUCUCUACGCCGGGAGCACCGAUCCACCUCCGCCGUCGGAAAUCUUUUUCAAAAAGGUUGACCUCGGAUCAGGUAGGAAUACCCGCUGAACUUAA